rfam:Proteobacteria bacterium SG_bin4 2354, whole genome shotgun sequence.
CCCCUGUCUUCCCUCCCUGAGACAGGGCCUUAAGUGAUAUUAAGGCGGUUCCCCCGGUUUUACUCCCCUUUAACCGGGGUUUUUUUAU